UUGAGUUCUUGGAAACUCUAAUAGAAAGCAAAGCAAUAUAUUAGUAUUAAAACCACAAUACAACGGAAACUUCCAUUAUAGAGUCAAAAAGAAUAACAAAUGAUCACCUAACUCUAUAAAUUACAUCGAAUAUCUUUCCAGGAUGUUCUAAUGAUACUGUACAUUAAAAUCAUUCAUAAAAAACAAACAAAAUAGUCCACUUUAAGCACAUAAAAGAUGAAAUGAAAACCCGCACUGCAUAAUGUAGGACCCUAAUGCAAAUCCCUGAGUUCUUUCAAUAUUUAUUUCGACGCCAUAAAUUAACCCUUUUAACUAACCCAAGAACGUUAGCCAAAUCACUAAAUUAAGAGGCAUGAAUAAUAUCAAAUCUAAGACGCAAGUUGACAUCGAGAAAUGGCCAACAAGUGUCCGGCCACGUUCUGUUUACACCUGCACACGGAGCACUCCGUUAGAAGGCAAAGGUCAUCGGCCAAGAAAAAGGUCCGACGAUCAUUUGCACUCCGACGGUCAAGUCAAUGGCCGAACGAAAAUAUAUAUAUAGAUAGAGUACAAUAGUUGGGGGAGGGGGAAUUUGGCUAAGGUUUAGAACAUCAUCUUACCUGGAAAUGGAGUGAAUUCUCAUAUAUAUAGACAAAUGAAAUGGGCCAAGUACUUUAAUGGGCCUAAGUCCAAACUCUACAUCAGGUGUUUUUAUAUGCAUUGUUAUGGAUACCUCCGCAAGCACUUCAACGGGACCUCUUAGGGCCUCAACGGUAUCUUUGAAGGCACCUCGAUUGCCUCUUGAGAGCCUGGGUUGGACCACUUAGGGUCUCGGUGGACAUCCUUGAAGGCACUUCAACCAUCUUGAUAGGCACCUCGGCAGGAACUUCGGCCAUCUUUGGAGGCACCUCGUCUUAUUUCUUGGAGAGCCUCGGCUUGGCUUGGUAGGCACCUCAGCUGGCUCCCUUGAGAGCCUCAACUGAAUUAGUGAAUUAUCAUGGUGCCUCCACGUGGCAUUUCAUAUUCGACCAGCAACAGGGCAUAUAUCCAAAAUAUUUAUCAAUAUCACAUCCUCAUAUCAUCAAAUUCAAACCUAAUAAAUCUAAUAGAUUCUUCCAAAUAACAAGCACAAGACAUAAUUAACCAUCAUUACAUGACAAGCAAGAUCAUUUCAGAGUAGCAAGUUCUAUCUACUUUCAAUGAAAAAAGAACAAAUAAAUUUCUGAUUAGAAAAUCCUUACUUUGUUUUUGACAUAACAAUUAAAAGAAAACUAUAAUUCCAAUUUACUUCAGCUAAAAAUUUCUAUAUAAUUUGCAUGCAAGUAAAUUAUAGACAGACAGCAAUAAUUCCCAUAAAAAAAGAAGUGAAGUAGAAAAAACAUCAAUAUAUAAUCACAAAAAUAAAAAAAAAGAAAAGAAAAUUGCGCUCAAUAAAUAGAUUGAAAAUAUCACCAAAAUGAUCGAUCAAGUACUUAACUCACAGUAGCUGCGAAAAAUGCCUUCUUACCGAUAUCUAAUAGAACAAUCAUCAUCAAUUACUUCGUAAACCCCUAAUCAAUUUUUAAACAAAAGAAUAGGAAAAAACUCAAAAGAAAUAAGUAAUCGAUAGGUAUUAACAGAUUUUGUCUCCGGCCCUGAAUAGUCGAUAAAACAACCAAGAACAGAUAUCAGAAUCAAGGUCCCAAUAGCAGUCGCCACAUACGACAUGGUGCAUUGGGCCUUGAACCUCUUGAGCCUCAACUGCCAUCGUCACAAGAAUCCUAAAAGCAAUAAUAUAGAUAGACAAUGCGAGUACACAAAAGGUCAUUAUUUAAUGUAAUCAGACUCCAGAACUUAAAAGGCAUAAAAGCAUAUUAAUGGUGCAGACAUGUGUUAGCACACAUCUGAAUGUAUAUGUGAGGGUCAAAUAUCGAAAGAACACUUAUUCUAGUCACAUCUAUGCUAUUGGUCGAGAAAACAUAAAUGCACAAGUAUGCAAAUCGUUGUGUCCGUGUAGAUAAAGAGAGCAUUUGAAGUUUCAUAAGAUGAUAUGAAAUAACUUAGGAAAAAUUAAAAAUUGGUCAUCUCCGAUUAAAACUUCCAUGUCAUGCUUAAAAUAGUUUGUGCUUAUGUGACAGUUUCCUACAAAUUAUAAAACUAUUAGAAAACUAACAAGCAUAAAUUUUGCUAUUGAAUGGAAAAGUUUCUAUCAGAAGUGUCUCUGUGUGCGUGAGAGAGAGGAAUGAGUUAAGAGUCCCUGCUCGGUAAAUAUAUAAUGCACUAAAGCAAAGAGCGCCUAAUUAUUUUUAAUUGUUGAUAAUGACAAGUAUGUGCGAGUUUAAGAAGUUCAAAAUUAACUCAUCAAUGUUGCGUAUAAAGGAUAAGACAGCGAGUUAUAAAAAGCCGUCUCCGCAUCCAUUAUCAACUAAACCCCAUCCUUUAGCAGUUGAACGAUCUCCUGUACAUAUGAAUUCAUAAUACAACAAAAACUAUACGUAACUUCUAAAGUUCACCAACCAAUGUGAUUAAGAAAAUCAAAUACUCAGCUAAGAGAUGUGAAUAAUCACUUCAAUUUGAUAAGUCUCUUUGUCAAAUGACCAACAUCUCAAGAAGGGGAUAAAAUACCAUUAUAAAAGCUCAAAGCAAUCGAUAACUCGCUUAAAAACUUCAAGCUGUCUGAUAUGUCAGCUAAAUAUGUGAACAAAAGAAAAAAAAAAUCCAGCUACAAUAAUGCAAAAAAGGUUUUUCAUGAAAAUAUAACUCACAAUAUAGUGCAAAAGAAGAUGGAAGAGAAAGCUCUUACUCCGACAAAGUUCGCCCCCGAUUCAACCAGGAUGCCAGUGCUCCUCCAUUGCUCACCAAUAAGCUUGAUUAGGUCUUCUGAAGGAAGAGAUCUCGGAUGUUGACCAUUAAUCCACAUUUGAAGUUAAGAAAAUAUAUUCAGUGCGGGAAUAAGAUGGGUCAAGGCUGAAGCAAAAGUUGCAAUGAUCCUUUGCAAUAGGAAAAUUGUACUGAUUAUUACUCCAAGUUAUUAAAUUAAGUCCAUAAUCUUGGUCAAUAAAAGCUUUUAUCAAUGCUGGACAAAUAUAUGUAGUUCAAUACGUUUCACAUAAAGCAAUUAAAAAAAAGGCAAAUAUUGUUCAUCUUUUAUCUCAAAAACCCUAUCCCAAUUUAAUGAGUCAUUUAGAGAUUAAUAAAAUUUGAAACUUAUCCGAAAACACCACAAAGAAAGACUUGGAAGACUGCCAUCCAUAUUCACUUAGGCAUCUUCUUACUAUAAUAUCAAGAAAAUUUCAAAGAUUUAGAUUUAGAAGAAAUUCUUGUGUGCGGAUUUUAACUUAAGAUUUUCACAUUUUUUGUGGGAUCCAUAAACCCUAGAUGUGAAGGGAAAAUAAAAACCCCUUGAAAAUUAACAUUUAAUCAAAUAUUCUUCCUUGUAAAUUUGAAAAUCAAAAUAAACAUACAUUAGAAACUUUCAACCAAGAGGGCAAUCGAAAUCAUAAAACCAGGCCAAACAUGAAUCAAUAGCCCACCAAAGUGGACAACUUCAUUCCAUCAUUUGCAGCCAGUUUAUAAACAAUAUCGACUCCAGCAAAUAUUGUUUGCACCAUCACCAUUAGUAACGUUGGCUUCAACCCUUGUAACUAAGGUUGAACAAAACUCCCGAACCAGCUAGUCGGACCCAAACCAAAUUGAGCGAUUCUUCUUAAUUAAAUAUCCAAAUGGGUAUUUAAAUCGAAAAUCAACGGGUUCGGUUCUGUUCUCAAUUCUAGAGCAACAAUCGAAUAACUGAAUAAGAACCAAAUCUUCUUAAUUUUAAAUUAAUUUAUUUUAAAUAAGUCAAAUUAUAUUUUCUCUAAAUAAAUUUCUAACUAGUUAAUUUAGUUCAAACCCAAAAAUAUGAUUUUUCAUAUUUCUAAUUUUCAAUCCAAGCCAACUUAAUCAAAUUGACCUAAGUUUUACCCAAAUCUAUUAUUCUACUAUAUUAUUAUUUCUACCAUUUUGAAAAAAUCGAAUUAAAGUUCGACAAAGCCUCUCCUAAUUAUUGUGAGUUCACUAUCUUCCUCUUCGUGUGAUUUUAACAAUCAAAUCAUGGAGAACUCAACAAAGAGAGACGCAAGACACAUAAGAUUGGACUAUCGUAUUUUGUAAGAGUUAAGAAUAACAUGUAAUUAGUUAAAUUAAUAUAGUUUUGUAAAUAUUAAAAAUUUUAAUUAUAGUACGGAACCAAAAAUCGAAUCGGACUAAAUCGAAUGGAACUGAACUCGAGUGGUUCCAUAAUUAAAUUUUGACACUACAAUUUCACAUACUAAAUAUCCGAAAAUUUCGAAUUUGGUUAAAUUCUCGUUAUAACCAAACCGAAUCAUGCCCAACUUUACUUGUAAUGAGUCGCAAAUCUUCAUAUUUUCAAUCAAACUCCCGAUCCACAAACUAAAUAAAUCUACGAACAAGAAACUUAAAAACCUUGGGAGAUAUAGGACUUUCAAUCAAAUUCCCAACCUACAAAAUAAAUAGUAAAUCAUCCACCAAGAAGAAACUUAAAAACCUUGAGAGAUAUAGGUUUUUCAAUCAAAACUCUCAACCCGCAAAAGUAAAUUUUAAAUCUACCGAGAAGAACUUAAAAACCUAGACAAACAAAGAAUUUUCAAUCAAAUUCCCAACCCACCAUAGCAAAUACAUCUACCAAGAACAAUAAGAACAAAAUGAAGAUUCAAUUUUUUCAAGUUCUUGCUUGAAAAGAGGAGAAGAGCCAAAGGGGAAAUAGAAGGAAAAAUAUAUCUUAUUUUUGGCAUGUCCUUCUCUGCAAUACCUACUGCAACAAAUAGAAAAUAGAGAAGAAGAAAGGAGAGAUCUGGGUUGUAUGGGGAACUGGAGUACAGAGCCUGGGUACUUGUGCAGAAAAAUGGAAAAAGACAGAGAGACGAAAGAAAAAUGAAAAU
rnacentral:lncRNA from 1 species